rnacentral:rRNA from 1 species
CGUUGUCCGGAAUUAUUGGGCGUAAAGGGUGCGUAGACGGCCCUGCAAGUUGGAUGUGAAAUACCCGUGCUUAACAUGGGAACUGCAUCCAAAACUGUGGGGCUUGAGUGUGGAAGAGGUAAGUGGAAUUCCCAGUGUAGCGGUGAAAUGCGUAGAUAUUGGGAGGAACACCAGUGGCGAAGGCGACUUACUGGGCCACAACUGACGCUGAGGCACGAAAGCGGUGGGGAGAC